GACGAACGCUGGCGGCGUGCUUAACACAUGCAAGUCGAACGGAAAGGCCCUGCUUUUGUGGGGUGCUCGAGUGGCGAACGGGUGAGUAACACGUGAGUAACCUGCCCUUGACUUUGGGAUAACUUCAGGAAACUGGGGCUAAUACCGGAUAGGAGCUCCUGCUGCAUGGUGGGGGUUGGAAAGUUUCGGCGGUUGGGGAUGGACUCGCGGCUUAUCAGCUUGUUGGUGGGGUAGUGGCUUACCAAGGCUUUGACGGGUAGCCGGCCUGAGAGGGUGACCGGCCACAUUGGGACUGAGAUACGGCCCAGACUCCUACGGGAGGCAGCAGGGGGGAAUAUUGCUCAAUGGGCGGAAGCCUGAUGCAGCAACGCCGCGUGCGGGAUGACGGCCUUCGGGUUGUAAACCGCUGUCGCCUGUGACGAAGCGUGAGUGACGGUAAUGGGUAAAGAAGCACCGGCUAACUACGUG
rnacentral:rRNA from 1 species